GACGGGGGGGGCAAGUGUUCUUCGGAAUGACUGGGCGUAAAGGGCACGUAGGCGGUGAAUCGGGUUGAAAGUGAAAGUCGCCAAAAAGUGGCGGAAUGCUCUCGAAACCAAUUCACUUGAGUGAGACAGAGGAGAGUGGAAUUGCAGGUGUAGCGGUGAAAUGCGUAGAUAUCUGCAGGAACACCCGUGGCGAAGGCGGCUCGCUGGACCGCAACUGACGCUGAGGAACGAAAGCUAGGGGAGCAAACAGG
rnacentral:rRNA from 1 species